rnacentral:lncRNA from 1 species
UGAGAGUUUUUUUUGUUGAGAAUGGUAGUAUGUUAUUACUUCAUUUUUUUAGAAAAAAAAAAUUAGUUGAAAGAGUGAUACAAUUAGACUUUGAACUGGAAAUCUCGUAUAUCAAAUAUCAAAUUCUUUGCUACUUGUGUUAGAGACGAUUGGUUACAGCACUGUAGAGUUGAUUAGAAUAGCUCACUUGUUACCCAAC